rnacentral:rRNA from 1 species
AGCAUAUCAAUAAGCGGAGGAAAAGAAACUAACAAGGAUUCCCUUAGUAACUGCGAGUGAAGAGGGAAAAGCUCAAAUUUAAAAUCUGGCAGUGUUUCACUGUCCGAGUUGUAACCUAGAGAAGUGUAACCUGCGCUGGACCGUGUAUAAGUCUCCUGGAAUGGAGCAUCACAGAGGGUGAGAAUCCCGUCUUUGACAUGGACCACCAGUGUAUUGUGGUUGUGCUCUCAACGAGUCGAGUUGUUUGGGAAUGCAGCUCUAAAUGGGUGGUAAAUUCCAUCUAAAGCUAAAUAUUGGCGAGAGACCGAUAGCGAACAAGUACCGUGAGGGAAAGAUGAAAAGAACUUUGGAAAGAGAGUUAAACAGUAUGUGAAAUUGUUGAAAGGGAAACGUUUGAAGUCAGUCGCGUUGGUUGGGGAUCAGCCUGACAUUGUUGGGUUUACUUCCUGGUCGACGGGCCAACAUCAGUUUUGACUGCCAGAAAAAGGCCAAAGGAAUGUGGCACCCUUUGGGUGUGUUAUAGCCAUUGGUCGUAUAUGGUGGUUGGGACUGAGGAAAGCAGCGUGCCGAAAGGCCGGGUUUCGACCACGUUCACGCUGAGGAUGUUGGCAUAAUGGCUUUAAGCGACCCGUCUUGAAACACGGACCAAGGAGUCUAACAUGCAUGCGAGUGUUUGGGUGGAAAACCCUUACGCGUAAUGAAAGUGAAAGUUGAGAUCCCUGUCGUGGGGAGCAUCGACGCCCGGACCAGAACUUUUGGGACGGAUCUGCGGUAGAGCACGUAUGUUGGGACCCGAAAGAUGGUGAACUAUGCCUGAAUAGGGUGAAGCCAGAGGAAACUCUGGUGGAGGCUCGUAGCGAUUCUGACGUGCAAAUCGAUCGUCAAAUUUGGGUAUAGGGGCGAAAGACUAAUCGAACCAUCUAGUAGCUGGUUCCUGCC